GAUGAACGCUGACAGAAUGCUUAACACAUGCAAGUCGAUGGGGAAGUGGUGCUUGCUCCAUGGGGACCAUGGCGGACGGGUGAGUAACGCGUAAGGAACUUGCCUGCGGGACUGGGAUAACAGCAGGAAACUGCUGAUAAUACCGGAUAAGGUCAUUAAGCUGCAUAGCUUAGUGAUGAAAGGAGACGCCUGCGGAGAGCCUUGCGUCCUAUUAGCUAGUUGGAGGGGUAACGGCCCACCAAGGCGAAGAUAGGUAGCCGGCCUGAGAGGGUGGACGGCCACAAGGGGACUGAGAUACGGCCCUUACUCCUAAGGGAGGCAGCAGUGGGGAAUAUUGGACAAAGGGGGCAACCCUGAUCCAGCAAUUCUGUGUGCACGAAGACGGUUUUCGGAUUGUAAAGUGCUUUCAGCAGGGAAGAAGGAAGUGACGGUACCUGCAGAAGAAGCGACGGCUAAAUACGUG
rnacentral:rRNA from 1 species